rnacentral:rRNA from 1 species
GUCCUCAUGGCCUUUAUGUCUAGGGCCUACACACGUACUACAAUGGCAGGUACAAAGGGCAGCGACACAGCGAUGUGGAUGCGAAUACCCGAAAAGCCUGUCUCAGUCCGGAUCGGAGUCUGCAACUCGACUCCAUGAAGUCGGAAUCGCUAGUAAUCGCAGAUCAGCGUGCUGCGGUGAAUACGUUCCCGGGCCUU